rnacentral:rRNA from 1 species
GACGAACGCUGGCGGCGUGCUUUAUACAUGCAAGUCGAACGAUGAAGUUCCUUCGGGAAUGGAUUAGUGGCGAACGGGUGAGGAACACGUGAGAAACCUGCCUUUCAUUCUGGGAUAACACCGGGAAACCGGUGCUAAUACCGGAUACUCCGUCUUGGCGGCAUCGCCGAGCCGGGAAAAAAUUUUGAUGAGAGAUGGUCUCGCGGCCUAUCAGCUAGUUGGUGAGGUAAAGGCUCACCAAGGCGACGACGGGUAGCCGGCCUGAGAGGGCGACCGGCCAAACUGGGGCUGAGACACGGCCCAGACUCCUACGGGAGGCAGCAGUAGGGAAUAUUGGCAAUGGGCGCAAGCCUGACCCAGCGACGCCGCGUGAGGGAUGAAGAUCUUCGGAUUGUAAACCUCUUUCAGUAGGGAAGAAGCGAAAGUGACGGUACCUAAAGAAGAAGCACCGGCUAACUAUGUGCCAGCCGCCGUAGUAA